GCGAUCUCUUCGGAGAGAGCGGCGGACGGGUGAGUAACGCGUGGGUAACCUGCCCUGUACACACGGAUAACAUACCGAAAGGUAUACUAAUACGGGAUAAUAUAUGAAAGUCGCAUGGCUUUUGUAUCAAAGCUCCGGCGGUACAGGAUGGACCCGCGUCUGAUUAGCUAGUUGGUAAGGUAAUGGCUUACCAAGGCAACGAUCAGUAGCCGACCUGAGAGGGUGAUCGGCCACACUGGAACUGAGACACGGUCCANACUCCUACGGGAGGCAGCAGUGGGGAAUAUUGCACAAUGGGCGAAAGCCUGAUGCAGCAACGCCGCGUGAGCGAUGAAGGCCUUCGGGUCGUAAAGCUCUGUCCUCAAGGAAGAUAAUGACGGUACUUGAGGAGGAAGCCCCGGCUAACUACGUGCCAGCAGCCGCGGUAAUACGUAGGGGGCUAGCGUUAUCCGGAAUUACUGGGCGUAAAGGGUGCGUAGGUGGUUUUUUAAGUCAGAAGUGAAAGGCUACGGCUCAACCGUAGUAAGCUUUUGAAACUAGAGAACUUGAGUGCAGGAGAGGAGAGUAGAAUUCCUAGUGUAGCGGUGAAAUGCGUAGAUAUUAGGAGGAAUACCAGUAGCGAAGGCGGCUCUCUGGACUGUAACUGACACUGAGGCACGAAAGCGUGGGGAGCAAACAGGAUUAGAUACCCUGGUAGUCCACGCCGUAAACGAUGAGUACUAGGUGUCGGGGGUUACCCCCCUCGGUGCCGCAGCUAA
rnacentral:rRNA from 1 species